UACAGAGGAUGCAAGCGUUAUCCGGAAUGAUUGGGCGUAAAGCGUCUGUAGGUGGCUUUUUAAGUCCGCCGUCAAAUCCCAGGGCUCAACUCUGGACAGGCGGUGGAAACUACCAAGCUCGAGUACGGUAGGGGCAGAGGGAAUUUCCGGUGGAGCGGUGAAAUGCGCAGAGAUCGGAAGGAACAUCAGUGGCGAAAGCGGCUUCCUGGACCAGCACCGACGUUCAGGCACGAAAGCGUGGGGAGCAAACAGG
rnacentral:rRNA from 1 species